GACAGAGGGUGCAAACGUUGCUCGGAAUCACUGGGCGUAAAGGGCGUGUAGGCGGGAAGGAAAGUCAGAUGUGAAAUCCCUAGGCUCAACCUAGGAACUGCAUUUGAAACUCCCUUUCUUGAGUACCGGAGAGGAAGGUGGAAUACCUGGUGUAGAGGUGAAAUUCGUAGAUAUCGAGAGGAACAUCGGUGGCGAAGGCGGCCUUCUGGACGGUGACUGACGCUGAGAUGCGAAAGCGUGGGGAGCAAACAGG
rnacentral:rRNA from 1 species